rnacentral:lncRNA from 1 species
UAGGGAGAUUAGAGUAUCGGAACACUCGCUCUACGAAAUGUGCAGACAGACACCUUUGGGAAAGAGGGCAACCGUCCAAAAGCAACAAUGAGAAGAUACAGCCAGAGUAAGACUACUUAUUGUCCUGCACCUUUGAGUCUGACAGUGUUGGAGGCUCUGACACACCCAAUCCCAGAUCUGCUACUCAAUGUCCUGCUUGCUUCUGGAAAUGAUUUCCUAUCUCAGAUAUCAGACCACACAUUUGUAAAUCAGAAAUAUCGCAUUUCUCUUUGAAGGAGAUUUUCUAAGAACUUUAAAUGUGACAAGAUAUAAAGGCAUUUUAUAAACUGGAAAAUACAAAUGUCAGAUGAUUCCAUUCAAUAUCUGUGCCUAAGAAGGAGAUGCUUUCUCCAGAAUCUCUUGUGCAUUGUCAACCAAGGUUGACAUCAUUACUUUCCAUUGCUCAGAAUGUGAUGGAAAGCCCUCUUCAUACAGGAAUCACUAUCCAGUAAAAUCUCUCACCCACACAUGUCAACUCCACACUACUGAACUCCACAAUCCAUUGAAACUAAGAAUUGCCUCCCAGGAUCUCGUAAACUGGCAAAGCUGGACUGCCACCUGACCACAGGCUCUACCAUUUCUCUAGGAUUUUGAAAUAUCUGCAAAAAUUGCAAAUUGAACCACGUUGCAUUAAAACCUGGACUUUGGCUUGUCUUGAGAAACUGGAAGAUGACAGCAGUUGCCUUACAUUCACAUGAAAAUAAUCUAUGGGGUCCCAUGUUGGGACAUCUCGGUUUCCUGACUUCUCUCCCACUCUGAAGCCAGAUUACAUGACUACUGGUGUUUUAUCCCAGCAAGGAGACACGUAGCCGCCAGAGCCAAUGCCCGGGCCACUAUCAUUUUUCCUGUGCCACAAGGUGACAGCUUCCCUGGCUCAAUCUGCUUUCUUCGUGUGUGUGCAUCUUACGACGAAGAUGACAUGGAGCAGAGCAGGAACAAACUGACAGGAACUGGUGCUUACCUCUGUGAAGUAACUUCUUAAGAAUUCCUCAUUCACGGCAACGGCUCCUCGAGCCCCACUCAUGUCUCUGGAAGACCCCGUGGCUCUUGUCCUUACGGCUUCGUUGGCAGCGAUGGUUCCUGCUGUCCUUACAUGGUGAGUGGCCCCAGCGGUGAGGAGGCUUCUGUGUUCUUCCCAUCUUCCGUCAACCUCAGACAGCUCAUGCUGCCCUUUGGUAACGGAAGCUGAGCUGCUGCCUUUCAUCAUGCCUUCCUUGAGCAUCGCACCUCCUACGCCGCCUCUCACUGCCGAGCUCUCUGCAUGAUCGGCCACCAGAAGCGAUGGCACCACCUAGGGGUGAACACAGCUCACAAAUGAAUCCGAGGACAAAGGGUUAGUGUGUACUUGGCAGGAAGAUGUGAGCUAUGUGAAGGGUAUGAGAGAUGAGCUACUCCUCCUAAGCAAAUUAGGAAAACAGCUGGGGGCUGUGGGGGGGGGGGGGCACAUCCACUGGAGUCUUGUAAAGGAUUUCUUCUUCCUGCUUUAGAGUUGACUACAACCAGAGGAGGACACAAAGCCCAGAUUUCUUUAUGUGGUCUUGGUUUAUCCUCUUAACCAGAACCAAUGGCACCUGCCUUCCCUUUAGGGUCUUGUGUGACAGUUACAAAACUCUGAAAUUUCAGCUGGACAUAUGGCCAUUCAAAAUAAAGAGUCUACUUCCAACCGGAGGCUGGUCAAUGAUGGAGAAGCUGAAUGGCGCA